CCUGUUCGAGCGUCAUUAUGACCACUCAAGUCUAGCUUGGUAUUGGGGUUCGCGGUCUCGCGGCCCUUAAAAUCAGCGGCGGUGCCAUCUGGCUCUAAGCGUAGUAAUUUAUCUCGCUAUUGGGUCCGGUGAUUACAUGCCAACAACCCCCAACUUCUAAGGUUGACCUCGGAUCAGGUAGGGAUACCCGCUGAACUUAA
rnacentral:misc_RNA from 1 species